GGUCCGUUAGCUCAGUUCGGCAGAGCGCGGUGCUGAUACACCUGGAUCUCAGAUCCAAUAGCUACGCCGAGGUCGAGAGUUCGAUCCUCUCACGGACCA